UUACGGCCACAUCACAUUGAAACACCGAUUCCCGUGCAAACACCAAAGUUAAGCAACGUCGUACCUGGUCAGUAUCUAGAUGGGUGACUGCUUAGAAAUACCAUAUGCUGUAAG